UUUGGUAAUAUUGUGGGAGGUUUUGGAUAUCGUGGAAAGACCGGAAUAGCACGAGUACACCCAGAACAGAUUCACAAGGUUAUCAGGGAUAACGCCAGUCAAAUCUGGUCAGCUAUGGACCCAGAAUUUUGCGGAUAAGGAAAAAUGCCGGGAACUUGGCUUAGCCGGCUAGCAGUCCUGACCUAAAUCCCAUGAAGAAUUUUUGGGCCAACUUCUCGCGUCGGGUGGGCGUCAAUUUCGAACCAAAAAGGGAUUGGAGCAAAUGAUGCAUGGCGGAUGGGCAAAUAUCCUGCUGGAGACCCUUCAGCACUUCAAUAACUCAAUGAAGCGACGAAUAUUCGCGUUAAUUCUAGCUAAGAAAGGUUUUACCAAAUACUAGAAUAAGUUUCAAGGGUACUGACUCCCUUAAAAUUAACUUAUAAAAUGUUUAAAUUUCAUAUCUCUUACUUUUGAGACAGUCGAUUUUGACUAAUUUUGUAAGAUUGCAUGUAAAUUUCUUGAUUUAAGUCAAAUCUCAAUGAAACUUGGCAUGAACUUGUAGCAAUACCUGAGCUAUAUUAUAAUAAAACUUUGGGCCCCAGGACCAAGCUAUUAAGAAAUAGUAGAAUUUUCCAAAACUA